AUACGGAGGAUGCGAGCGUUAUCCGGAUUUACUGGGUGUAAAGGGAGCGCAGACGGCAGUGCAAGUCUGAAGUGGAAGCCCGGGGCUCAACCCCGGGACUGCUUUGGAAACUGUUCUGCUAGAGUACUGGAAGGGCAAGCGGAAUUCCUGGUGUAGCGGUGAAAUGCGUAGAUAUCAGGAGGAACACCGGUGGCGAAGGCGGCUUGCUGGACAGCAACUGACGUUGAGGCUCGAGAGCGUGGGGAGCAAACAGGAUUAGAUACCCUGGUAGUCCACGCUGUAAACGAUGAAUACUAGGUGUUGGGAGACUAAGUCUUUCAGUGCCGUCGCAAACGCAGUAAGUAUUCCACCUGGGGAGUACGUUCGCAAGAAUGAAACUCAAAUGAAUGGACGGGG
rnacentral:rRNA from 1 species